rnacentral:rRNA from 1 species
UACGUAGGGCGCAAGCGUUGUCCGGAAUUAUUGGGCGUAAAGAGCUCGUAGGCGGCCAGUUGCGUCCGCUGUGAAAUCCCAGGGCUUAACCCUGGGCGUGCAGUGGAUACGGGCUGGCUGGAGGCAGGCAGGGGAGAACGGAAUUCCCGGUGUAGCGGUGAAAUGCGCAGAUAUCAGGAGGAACACCGGUGGCGAAGGCGGGUCUCUGGGCAGUAACUGACGCUGAGGAGCGAAAGCGUGGGGAGCGAACAGG